rnacentral:rRNA from 1 species
UACAGAGGGGGCAAGCGUUGUUCGGAAUUACUGGGCGUAAAGGGCGCGUAGGCGGCCUGCUAAGUCGGACGUGAAAUCCCUCGGCUCAACCGAGGAACUGCGUCCGAUACUGGUGGGCUUGAAUCCGGGAGAGGGAUGUGGAAUUCCAGGUGUAGCGGUGAAAUGCGUAGAUAUCUGGAGGAACACCGGUGGCGAAGGCGGCAUCCUGGACCGGUAUUGACGCUGAGGCGCGAAAGCUAAGGGGAGCAAACGGGG